CCCCAGGUAAGGGCUGACCUGGACAUUUAUGUAUUUUUCUCAUCAAGAUGUCAAUUUAGUAACCCGGAAGAGGUAUGUCACGGGGUCAGAUCGAAUUUAUUGAGGAUGUGUCAGAGGAGGAUUUGCAGGAGAAAGCACUUAGCUCAGCCAGGCUCUCUCUGAGUGGGAAGACAUAGUUGGAGAGAGCAGCCGUCUUACAUCAUCACAUCGGCAGCAGAACCAUGGGACACAUGGUCAUCGAGACCUUCCCACCCAAUCCUGACUGGGGCAGAGGGAGAGGAGGGUGGAGGAGCCCUAGAGGAUCAACCAGACGGGAGAGGUCCUACUGAGGGCCCUACAGAGGUCAGUGCCGAGGGCACAGAGGUGGCUCCAGACUCGCCCUCCAAGCAGCUUCCAGACCAGAUCUCCUUCUUCAGUGGAAACCCCUCAGUGCAGAUCGUCCACGGCAUCAUGCACCUCUUCAAGACCAACAAGAUGACAUCACUGACGGAGGAUGUGCGUUGCAGUGCCAUGCUGUGUAUCCUGACCGUACCCUCCACCAUGACAAGCCACGACCUCGUGAAGUUUGUGGCACCAUUUUAUGAUGUCAUGGAGCACAUGAAGAUCAUACGAGACUCCACCCCUAACCAGUACAUGGUGCUGAUCAAGUUUAGUAGCCAGGCUGAUGCAGAUAGUUUCUACACAGCGUGUAAUGGCCGUACGUUCAACUCCAUAGAGGAUGCAGUCUGCCAGCUGGUCUAUGUGGAGAGAGCUGAGGUCAUCAAGUCUGAGCAGGGCGCCAGUCUUCCAGUGAUUGAGCUGGCAGAGCUUCCUCAGUGUACCGUGUGUCUGGAGAGGAUGGAUGAGUCAGUGAAUGGGGUACUCACUACACUCUGUAACCACAGCUUCCACAGCCUGUGUCUGCAACGCUGGGAGGAUGCCUCGUGUCCUGUGUGUCGGUAUUGUCAGACCCCAGAGCCUGUAGAGGAGAAUAAGUGCUUUGAAUGUGGAGUUCAGGAGCCUACUCAGAGCAUCAGCAUUCCCAUGAUCAGCAGCAUGAAGGCCAAGUUUAAGGAGACCAUAGAUCGAUAUGAUAACCUGGAGCGUCGGCUGGGAGAGCUGGCCAAGGACGAACAGAGCAUGGACAAGAACACCAUCUCUGUCCCCCCUCCUUCAGGUGUGGUCAGUUGUCGACCCGUGUGACGAAGCUUGGUCAGGAGCUGAAAGAGAAACAGGAAAUGAAUCGCUGUCUGAGAGCCAAUCAGGUUCAGCUACAGGCCCAGUUGGCUGAAGAUGAGCACAAGGCUAGAGAGACUGUACUCUAAGAGGAUGGGAUCAGAAGUUAAGUGUAUAUCUCUGCUUCAAGGUGCCCACUUUGACUUCUCCCUCCAUCCUUCUAUUAAAAAAAGUCACCUUGUUUUCUUCCUGAAAGGAGGAGAGAUUCAUGUGAAUAAGGAAGUGAGAAGUGGACGAAUACCUCAUGUUUGAAUAUGUUGGCUUUUCUAACUAACUGUCCAGUCACUUUUUGUAGGUAUGUGUGUUGUUAUAAAUGGGUUUAGAAAGUCUGCUUCCGAGAUUCACUACCAGCUGGUUGUCAGCGUUUGUCAUCUCUGUUUUAUCGAACAUCUGACUCCAAUCUGUUCUCAGGAAACGGAAUGACUCAGUUCUAUCGUGAGAAUGUUUAUUUUUCAUAGAGAUCAUUUAAUAUGUGACAGAAAACAAACUGAACAUCACUUUAUCUGAGAGAUUAAGUCAAGUGCUGAAAUAUUUAAUUUCUCAAUUUAGCUCUGUGUCAGAGCUGUAGACUUAACAGACGGGCACAGGUAUAUGUGGCUGAUGCUUUGGCAUUCCUACACUAAUCUGAGAUGUGCACCUGAUGUCAAGGGUUGCCCUAUUGCCUGGGCCAAGUCAUUUGAGCAGUCAUGCAAGUUAAGCCUAAGGUUGCACGUUGGGCAGGUGAUUUUUGACAAAAAAAGUAAAAACAACCAAACUGCAAAGAAUUCCAGUAACCUAAAGCUGAUCUUUCUGGUUCCUCCCCAUUGUUUAAAUGAAAGACAGACAAUGUAUGGCAGUUGGGCAAGUUGAGCCUGUUCUACUUGCUAAUAACAACCAAAAUACAAAGAAUUCCAGUAGUGAUCUUUCUGGUUCCUCCCCUAUGUGUAGGUGAAAGACAGGCAAUAUAUGGCACUUCUGUGUGUAAAUAGCUCAUUUACAUUUUCGAUCAAGAGCCUUUCAGACUUUGAUGUCAAUCCCUGUAAUACAGUACAAUACUUUACAAAUACAAUAUCAUACAACAGUUUGACUCCUGUUUCCCUGCACUUAACUGUGUGUAUGUGACCACCAUUUUCUUCACUGACAACACAUUUGUGGCAAGCCUGAAAGGGCACCAUAUUGCCUAUACACUGCACUACUGACCAGAUCCUGAUAAGCUGUGAACAUGCGUGUGUUUGUGUUGAAAUGCUGAAAGGCUACCGGUAUUUUCUGCUCAGUCACAGCUUUCCAUUAUACUAUAGCAUCAAUAUUGUCAUAGCAUGGUAUUGUAUCGAGGUCAACGCAGACGUUGGAAUAGUACACAGCAGCAGCAGAAUCCCACCUUUAGCCUAUUGUGAACAUGUCAUAUUUCAUUUUACCUUCCUGAAUGUCAACUUAAAGCAGUUAAGUAUUCACUGUGUUUUUUUGUAUACAUGUUAAAGUGCUCAAUAAAUUGUGUUACCAUUUGUA